rnacentral:rRNA from 1 species
AUUGAACGCUGGCGGCAGGCUUAACACAUGCAAGUCGAACGAGUGGCGGACGGGUGAGUAAUGUCUGGGAAACUGCCUUAUGGAGGGGGAUAACUACUGGAAACGGUCGCUAAUACCGCAUACCAUCGGAUGUGCCCAAGUGGGAUUAGGUAGUUGGUGGGGUAAAGGCCUACCUAGCUGACGAUCUCUAGCUGGUCUGAGAGGAUGACCAGCCACACCGUGACUGAGACACGGCCCAGACUCCUACGGGAGGCAGCAGUGGGGAAUAUUGCGCAAGGGGCGCAACCCUGACGCAGCCAUGCCGCGUGAAUGAAGAAGGCCUUCGGGUUGUAAAGUUCUUUCGGUAUUGAGGCGUUAAAUACAGAAGAAGCACCGGCUAACUCCGUGCCAGCCGCCGCGGUAAUAC